GACACCUUUAACACAGCUGGUCAUUAUGCCGACCGGGUGUCCGCGCUAAGUUCGGUAUCAAUAUGGUGACCUCCUGGGAGCAGGAGGCCAUGAGGUUGCCUAAAGACGGGAGAACUGGCCCAGGUCAGAGAGGGACCAGGUCAGGACUCCGGCACCAAUCGGUGGUGGGACUGUGCCUGGGCAGUAUAGCAAGAU
ensembl:misc_RNA Metazoa_SRP Metazoan signal recognition particle RNA